AUACGGAGGGGGCUAGCGUUGUUCGGAAUUACUGGGCGUAAAGCGCGCGUAGGCGGACCUGUAAGUCGGGGGUGAAAGCCCGAGGCUCAACCUCGGAACUGCCUUCGAUACUACAGGUCUUGAGUCCGAGAGAGGUGAGUGGAAUUCCUAGUGUAGAGGUGAAAUUCGUAGAUAUUAGGAAGAACACCAGUGGCGAAGGCGGCUCACUGGCUCGGUACUGACGCUGAGGUGCGAAAGCGUGGGGAGCAAACAGGAUUAGAUACCCCGGUAGUCC
rnacentral:rRNA from 1 species